rnacentral:lncRNA from 1 species
CACUCAUUCAUAUUUCACUCUUGUGUCAGAAUUUCCCAUUUUUUCCUUUUAUUUACCCAGUGGUUAGAUUCUUGAAAACUGGUGGGUAUCUAGCAACACUUCAUUUAAAAUAGAUAAACGGAUGUCCUCAUCAGAAACACAGAUAAAUCAGAAAAUAUAUUCUGGUGGUUUAUUUUUGUUUAAAGCCAGUGCUAUCCUUUACUGGUUGCUAUUGUAACUCAUUCUCAAGCUGACGUCAUUGCUAUCCCCUGGCUUUAAAAAGUAAUAAAGCCCAGUGAUCUCAACUUUACUUCUCUAUCCCCUACUUUGGUCUUUAAUUUCACCGCAGAAUAGAUACUCAAAAAAUAAUUAUUGAGUAAGUGGAUAAAUGGAUGAAUGUGAACAGUGAACAAUUUAGGGAAAAUAAAUUUUAAAAAUGUUUAUUGAGAAACAACCAAAAUUGCUAGCAAUGUAUGACAAAGACAGACACAUCUGACCACUCCACUCCUGGUACAACUAUUCUCCAUUGCUGGUCUUUCAGGACAGUCUUGGGGAAAUGCAGAGAUAUUCCAGAGUAGCACAUUGAUCUCCAUGUCUUUGUCACAUGUUUCUCUGAUGGUGCUUUCAGUGAAGUGUGGUUAGUAAUCCGUUGUCUGAGGUCUGUUUCUUUCCAGUGUGAUAGAGAACCUCAAUAUUGACUCCAAAGGGCAUAACCUUUCGUGGUCUUCUUCUGAUAGUGUCCCUGUGUUGUUAGAUGAUGUUCUGCAGAAAUCACAAAGAAUAAACUCACACAUAUGUACCAUCAGGCUGCAAUGGGAAGUUAGGGGCAAGCAGAAGGGGGAUCAUGCACUUGGAUUAAUGUCAUGCUGCAUUUGUCAACACAAUGCCUUCUCAACAUUUCACAAGCAAUGCAAAACACAGGAGUAUGCAAUCCACACGUUUAUAUUUUAAAAGAGUUGAAAGUGUAAAUUCAAUAGUUGUCAUAUAAGAGGCUGGCAUAUACAUUACUACAUGUCCUUGCAGUAAAACUUAUCAAGUACUCUGUAACCAUCAUCCCCAAAGUGCAAUAUGAAGCUUUCGUUUAUGAAAAUUACAUAUUAAAGACAUAAAACGACCAAAAACCAACCUAACUGUCCUUGUUUUCAAUUAAGUUGGAAUAUUGUUAAGGAGACCCAAAUUGUAUUCCCAGGCUUGCUGAUUAAUUUCCUCAGGUUGGUUCUAUCAUUCAUUUCCAUAACUUUAUUAUUCAGGGGGAUAAUUGCUGCAAAAGAAAUAAUGAUUCAGAAAGGUAAUUCUAUCUUGACACUUUUGCAGGACUUUUUGCAGAUGCUUCAUACCUUAACGAAGACUGGAGAAAUAAGAGCUUUUGAAAGAUAAUUAUAACUUCUUUCUUCCCUGUCCAUGUUAUUGAUUCUUCAUACACAAUAGCAAAUGUGUUUCAAUGAAAUAGCCAGAUUUCAAGUACAACUAACUAGUUUUUCUUUUUUAUUGUUCUGUUUUCUUUAAAAUUUGCUCUCUUUUCCUUGGUAUAAUAUUUUUCCUCCUUUCCUUUCUUCUUUCCACCCUGUCUUUCUGUCUACCUAUUUUUCUUCUUCACAAAUUCAUUCAUUUUUAGUUAUUUUGUAUUUUUAGCAUAUGGCUUUAUUAUCUUUUAUUUGCCAUUGUUAUGUUCAUUAGCUUUAAAUUUAUGAUUCUUAACUACUUUUUUUUCUUUUCUUUUUUUUUUUUUUUUUUGAGACAGGGCCUCAUUUUGUUCCCCAGGCUGGAGUGCAGUGGUGUGAUCUCAGCUCACUGGAACCUCCGCCUCCUGAUUUCAAGCGAUUCUCUUGCCUCAGCCUCCUGAGUAGCUGGGACUACAGGUGCGCCUGGCUAAUUUUUGUAUUUUUUGGUAGAGACGGGAUUUCACCAUGUUGGCCAGGCUGGUCUCGAACUCCCAACCUCAAGUGACCUACCCACAUUGGCUUCCCAAAGUGCUAGGAUUACAGGUGUGAGCCACCAUGCCCGGUCUGAUUCUUAACUUUUAGUUCUUUAUCCUCUUCUCUCUCAUCAUCGUCUUCCACAGUAAACUCCUAUGUCCCUGAUCUUGUUCAAGAUAUGAUGCACCUGUAAUUUGGGGAUUAAAUAAUAUUAUCAAUAGCUCACCCUCGCCAGUCUGAAAGUGUAACUGGAAGAAAGGCUUUUGGGGAACUGCAUUCACUCAUCAAAACCCAAUGUUUUCUCCAUUUCUGCCCAACAGCCUCAUUUCAAGGUGGAGCACUCGUGUUGUCACAGUAAAGAAGGGGUGCCUCCUUCUCCCGUCCAGAGAGAGUCUGUGCAUCCAUACUUCCUUUUCUUUCUUCACUUGAUUUCUUUGCUUUAUUUUUUUUUACCUUAUUUUCUAGUUUUUACUUAAUCAUGAUUUUAUUUACUGUCUGUAUUAUUUUCACGUUCUAUUUUGCUUUUGGUAUUUCUAUUACUUUCUUAGUUUUAUUUUUUCUUUUACUUUUGUGUCUUAUGACUUUUGAUCACUUGCAUUUCUGUUUUCUCAUUGUUUAUAUUCCUUUCUUACUUUUCUUUCUUCCUUAACUACAUUUUUAUCAUUUUUAUUUUCUAAUUUGUUUUCCUUAAUAAUUAUUUUUUCUUUUGAUUUUAAUGAUUUCCUUUCCCUCCCUCUCUCCUUAAUUUUCACUUUCUCUGUUCUUUCCCUUUUUUUUUUUUGCCUGCAUUCAUCCACAUCCCCCUCUAAUUUUUUUUUUCUUUUUCUUAACAUUAUUUCUGUUUCUUUACAUUUUCUGUUCUUGACUUUCUUUCUCCCUUAUUUUUUCUUUACUUUCUCUUUUGGGUUAUUUUCUGUCAGCACUUUCUUUCCUUUUGCUUUUCAUAGAUUAGCCUAUGAUUUUUAAUUUUAUCUAAGAUUUAUGUACUUCCAUUUUUCUCUAGUUUGUUGAUUCUUUUCUUAAUUUUUCUACAUUUAUACAUUAUUUAACUUUAUUUUUCUAAUUAAAAUACUUCGUUUUUUUACAUUCUUACAUUUUUUUCACAUUGCAUAAUUGUGUUAUUUUCCUUCUAUUAUCUUGUAUUUAAUUUUUAAUUCUUAUUUUUAUAUUUUAUCUCACUUGCAUUUUUUAUAGAUGUACUGCAGUGCCAUGCUGGGUAUCUUAAAGAACAAGGCAUUGUCCUCUGCAGACACCCAGGCUGCAGACUUCAAGGACUGGAAGAAGAGCUUUGCGUCUUCUCUCUUCUCUAUACAGACACAAUCUGUAGCAGCAAAUGUGUUACAGAUGGACAGAAGCUGGGGAACAUGGAUGAAGCUGGAAACCAUCAUUCUCAGCAAACUAACAGAGGAACAGAAAAGCAAACACCGUAUGUUCUCACUCAUGAUUGGGAGUUGAACAAUGAGAACACAUGGACACAGGGAGGGGAAUAUUACACACCGGGGCCUAUCAGAGCGUGGGAGGCUACGAGAGGGAUAGCAUUAGGAGAAAUACCUAAUGUAGAUGACGGGUUGAUGGGUGCAGCAAACCACCAUGGCUCAUGUAUACCCAUGUAACAGACCUACACAUUCUGCACAUGUAUCCCAGAACUUAAAGUAUGAUUUAAAAAUAUAUAUAGAGAGAGAGAUAUAUAAAUUGCUGAGAGUGGAUUUUAAGUGUUCUCACCACACAACAAAAUAAGUAUGUGAAGUAAACAUAUAUUAGUUAGCUUGAUUUAGCCAUUUCACACUAUAUAAAUAUUUCAAAACAACAUGUUGCACACUAUAGACAAUUUUUAUUGGUCAACUAAAAAUAAAAUUUUUAAAGGGAGAAAAUAAGAGAGAAUUGGCAUCAGGGUUGCAAAGGAAUGAAUAAAUACAUGGGCCAUGAAAAACUGAUCAAUAUAAGGGUUUGAGAGGAAGGUGAACAGUUUGCAAAGUUGUAACUUUGAAAGAUCUCCCUUAUUAAUUUAUUUGCUCGUUUAAAAGAGUCAGGGUACAAUGGAAUAUUCAACUUAAUCUAGAAGAGGUAGAGUGGACUGAAAUUAAUUUCCCUCUAACAUGCAUUUGUUGCUCUAAUCAACUAUCUAGAGCUACACAAAAUACAUACGAUUUUCUAAAAUUAUUUAAAUUCUUGAAGGUAAAUGCCAUUUCUUCUCUUAUAGAUGAUAGACCUUCAGACUUUCACAUGACUCUUUAUAAAUAGUCCCCAUGCUCAAAACGACAAACACCACUCUCUUAGAUUUCAACUUAGCAAGGCAUCCCAAACUAAACUUCACAUCCAAGGGAGAAGGCAAAUGAAGGAGAGUAAUGACCAGCUAUUUGUUUGAGACAAUAGGUACAUUCAUCAGAUUACCUCCAAACAUCAGCCAAGGGAUUUUAGUUUGGAACAAAGAUAGUUGGAAUAUUAAUUAUUUUCAAAUGGUGGAAGAGCUGCCAUAGAGAAUUAGAGAAAAUUUUAAACUAGAAGUUUGCAAAAAAUAUAUUCAAAUAAUAGCUUUGUUUUUAUUCUAAAAUGUGACCUUGGCUAAGCCACAUAAUCUCUCUGGGUCUCUGUAUGUGGGAGCUACUGAUAAUACCUGUAUCUCUGUUUCAGGUGAUGAUCAAAAUGCCUAUUUUGUGAUUUGUGAAAUGAAAUGUGCUGUAGGCAUGUAAGGUGAUUUUUACAAAUAAUUAUUUUCUUGUUGUUUUUGAAGUUCCAGAGUACAGGAAAGGAAACAGGAAAAACAUAACUGAGGAAUAGUUGUUAGGUCGGUGAGACAUUGAACCUUCUAACAUCUGAAACUGUCCACUAACUGGCAAGAGCAUUUCAAUAAAAAGCAAACACCUCAUCAUAUUGAAUCAUAGUGAAUAUAUAAAAAGACACUGUACACAUUUCUUCAGAUAUACAUACUGUAAUUGUCAUUCUAAAUUGUUAAAAAAUUACUAUAUAUAGUAAUUCUAAAAUAUAUAAUAUAUAAUACAUAAAUAUAUAUUAUAUAUAUAAAUUAUAUAUAUAUACACACAUAUAUAUUAGAAUGGAUUUCACACUGGGUUUUACUCCCAUUAUGUGAUGCAUAAAAAAGUAAACAACAAUAAAACAGUUAAAUUAAUGAGCUUGGUUGGUUUUCAAAACAUGUUAGGCCCAAUAUGUUAGAGAAUUAAUAUAGGGAUUUUAAAAAUGUGUUAAACUCAACAUGUUCUUACUAAUAACAGGGGAUUUCUGAUAUCAAGGACCAGUUAAUGUGGUUAAUAUUUUGUAUUAGAAGGAAAGGGAAGAGAUGUGCUGGGCAAAAGAGGAAAAUAUAGAUUUUUUAAAAAUAAAUAGAAAUCUGAGCUAAUAUUAAUAAGGGUAAAAAAGGAAAAAGUGAUAACAUCAUGUGGAACAUUCCAGAAGUUAUGUGCAGGGCUCAGUAUGGGGGCAACACAUCAAUAGCAUAUAUAUACAAGGCCAACCUCUUCCUCUCCAUUCCCAGAAAUCUAGUAGUGGGGCACUGUAUGUGUACAGGUAACAUGUUAAAUAGAUAGGCUGUGCUGGAUGCUAUGGUUGCAGAAUGUGGUUGAAGAAGAAUUGCGAAGCCAACAAAGCAAGGGUUGGGGCAGAGUUUAUGAGUUAUAUGAAGUUUGUGUGGGGACUGAGAAUUCUGGAUUUUAGACAUCCUGUGUCCUGCAUGGCAACUCCUCCACCCCCACCAGUCAUGUCAGGUGGAGGCCACUAUAGCAGAUAUAGUACGCCUACAUUAAGGGAAGGAGGUAGUUCUACGUAAUGAAAACUCACUUUCCAAGUUGACCCUUCUUAAUCCUCUGCUGGAAAACCAGUGUACUGUGAUACCCAAGGGCAUGGUUUUAUCCUUUGGUGCCACUAUUCAUCAUAUCCUCAUUGCAUUGGAAAAAUUAAUUGAUUACUCUUGACUUCACUUUUCUGUCAAAUUAAAAUUCCAUUACCAUUCAUUUGAAAAGAUCUGAUGUGGUUUAAGUGAGAUUAUAUAGUGUGUGGAUCAUUGCUCAGCAUGUGAUAAGCACUCAGACAUUUUAGCUAAAUGAAAACAACACUAAUACCAGUACUACUAAAACUGAGCCCUAAAGUAAUCACCUGAGUUUUAUUUAAACAAAAACAUAAUUUUCUUCCAUCUUUCUGUAAAAUUGUUCAACAAGAAAAUAUUAACAUUCAUAGAUGAUUUCAGAGUUUAUAGGAACUUUUGCAUACAGCUCACUUAUCAGAGCAACUCAGUUGGAUCCUGUUAUUAAUUUCCUCACUUUAGAAAUGAAGGGACUGAGAUCAAGAAAAGGAAGUGACUUGCUCAAGGAUACAUAUACAACAAGUAACCAUGCUAAGAAUUCUCAUUUGAUGUGCGAUUUCCCCCAAUCAGUGACUAUAGAUAUAUAUAGAUACAUAGAUGUGUAUAUAUAUAGAUGAUAGAUAGAUACGUAGAUGGGGAUACAGAUACUACACCUGUGUAUACCAUAUCUAUGUAUGUUUAUAUGCUAUUUGUAUGUUCCACUUCGGAUAUCUUCUCACAUUCAGAUAUCUAGUGUCCACAUGUUUUUUUCCCUGGAUUCCUCUCGAAACAUAAUCAUAUGGCAAAUAAAGUGAGUUCUGCAAUAAACUUUAAGAUUUAAUAUAAUACAUUUUCAGGGAGGGUGUGGGCAGAAAAAUUGUGUGGCUUUAAGUUUUCUUAGCAAAUAAGUGACUUCCCUCCUAAGAUGCAGCUGCUUUUCUUCAUUUUUUGUAACUGUUUUAUGUUUCACGAAAUUGCUCUGUCCUGAUUUUAACUGUGUCAUAUUCCAGCUCUCAGAGGGUAGCCAAAAUUUGGAAACAAAAUGUUGUUUUGCUAAUUCCCAUUUGUUCUGAGAUUUCUCAUUUGCUUAUACAUGACCACAUUUAACUUUAUAGCCUUCAGAAUUUUCCUUAUCAGGAUUUUUAACUUCUUGCUCGAUCAGCCCCAAAUCUGGGACAUUUGGGUAGGAUUUUAUUGACUAUACCCAGAAUAUAUUAAUAGUUUCUACAUUAAGGGAAAAAACAACUUAAUAAGACAAUUGCUAAUGAUAAGACCAGGUAAUUUGUAAAAGCAUACAUGGGAGACAUUUGACAAAAUACAAAUGCACUAGAAAUGAAGGCUAUAUAAAUUAAAGAAGCAGUUAGAUUCAAUUUUUAAUCUACAAGAUGAGAGGUUUUAAAAUAAAUUUAAAAAAUUAAAAUGAUCAUAUUUUGGGGGGGAAAGAUGUUCACUAAUACACGAAGAUAGGAAUACAAAUUUCAGAAGUACUUAUAAAAAGGAAUAUAUCAUCAUUUUUAAAUCCAAAAUAUGCUCACCUUUAAAUUUAUAAAUUCAUUUUCAUAAUAGAUACAUUUGACAAUCAAUUAGAUAUUUCUCUCCUACCUUCCUGUCUUAUCCUCUGUGUUCUCACUGGGAGAAGAGACAAGCUAAGGAAAGAAGAUGGGAAAAUGUUUCCAAUUUUAUUUGAAAGGGAAAAAUCCCUAUGAAAACAAUUACUAUGCUGCACAAAUUGUAAUCCACACUCAAAACGGAAGGCUGUGGAUCAAGCUCUCCCAGUCCUGUAUGUUUAUUUCCAUGUGUCUUAGGUGUGCAGAACAACUGUCAAUAGAUGGUGUCGGCUGGGCAUGGUGGCUCACGCCUAUAAUCCCAGCACAGAUCACUUAAGGUCAGGAGUCCAAGACCAGCCUGGCCAAUAUGGUGAAACCCCAUCUCUACUAAAAAUACAAAAAUUAGCCAGGUAUAGUGGCGGGCACCUGUAAUCCCAGCUGCUCUGGAGGCUGAGGGAGGAGAAUCACUUGAACCCAGGGAGCAGAAGUUGCAGUGAGCUGAGACUGCAGCACCACUGCACUCCAGCCUGGGUGUCGCAGUGAGACUCUGUCUUAAAAAAAAAAAAAAAAAAGAAAAAAAAAAAGAAAGAAAAGAAAAGAAAAAUAGAUGGUGUCAGUUGUUCCUCUAAAGAAUUUUAUACGACCCACAGACUUUCUCUGAUCUGUCGCUGGCAUACAUAAUGCUACCUAUUAAAACUAAUUAGUUGUGCUCCUUUGGUAUAAUUAAUAAGCAAUAACCACACUGUUGUUUGAGGAUGCUAACAUUUUAAUGUCCUCUUGUUAUCAGCCUCACUUGGAUACUGAGGAGUAUAAUGGUUCCACAGAGUCAUAAAGUAGUCAGGACCCUUUUUAGCUUUAUUGUUAUUGCCAACUCUAGCCUAUUUUUGACUGUGGUGUUGAACCAUUUCAGAUAAUUGAGAUAGUUACAGGCACUGGGUAAGAAAUAGUUAUGACAUGAAUGUGAAUACAAGGUGAUUACAUUUAUUGCCUGUGUCUUCACAAUUAGAAUGAGAAAUUUAAGAUACGAAAUUUAGCUCAAACGAUUCUGGCUCUUUAAGCUAAUUAAAUACCCUGAAGUCUCCUAAAGCCUUAUUUUGAUACUCAUUAGUGGACAGAGAAGUUUGGGAUACCCCAAGAUGUGCUAGUUCCCUGUAGUCUAGAAUAAAACAGAAGUCUAAUCCACCCAUUCAACAUGUACUCACUAAGUAUAUGACACUAAGUGCUGGGCUCUUUCUUGAUAAUUGAAAAUAUUGUCUCCACUUACAUGUAGCUUUCAGAAAACAUCAUAGACUCUCAAAAUUAGAGACAGAAUUAAAAGGUAUCUAGUUCAACUCUCAUUGAAUCCUUGAGUAGCAAACCCGAAGACCUCAUCUAGUAGCUUUUCAGCCUGGAAUUUGACAUCUCAAGCUUUGUUUAACCUUACAGUUUUCUUUGGGGCAUUGCAAGAGGUCUGCCUCUUCUUUCACAGGGAUAUGUUCCGUUAUUAUGCAAACCCAACCUGAUUUCUCACAUGCCUGUUCAUUCUGCUGUUUACUGUAUAACAUGAUUUUGAAUCCUUCCAGGACUCUUCCUGUUUGGGUCUGUAUGUUUGUCUGUGGGUCUGUAUGGCUUCUUAAGUCUGAUGUCUAAAAUGGAAUUCAGUUGUCUUGCCAUGAUUCUUUCAAUAGAGAGAGGGACUAUUGGACUAUGAACACAUCCUUUAUUCAAGAUAGUAUCUUUUAAAUGUAAACCAAGUUCACCUUGGAAUAAAGGAAAAAGAAAACAACAUAUAAACAUUGACAUAGAAAUUAGUCUGUCAAGGGAAUCACUUCAACUCUCCCAUGAGGAGAUUCACCUCAUGUAUCACUGUGCUGACAACAGAGAGUGGGCACUCUGCUGGAGUAUCAGAGAUCACUUCCCUAGAGAAGUCAGCUUAGCUGGGCCUUAACAAUGGGGAUACACUUCAAAGAAUAAAAGAUUUUAAUGAAUAGAGAACUUUACAAAAUGUCAAAUACCAAAGAUAAGAGGUGGAAGUGCUACUUUGAAUUAUCCAAAAAGACAAGUAAUCAAAAUCAGAAUGCACUGACUCACCUGAGAUGUACAAGGCCCUCUUGUCCUCCAGAAAGUUGGAGUCUACCAGUAAUAAGGACAUGUAGACAUCUUGUUCACACAAACCAGAGCAGGUCAUUGUUAACUGUGCCUCUUAUGGCAGCACUGAGCUAAUAGUGGUUAAUUCUCCCUGGAGAAAAUUGGAAAUGGCUUCCCAGAAGGUGAAAACUAGUGCCAAUUAUAAACAAUAGCUAAAAUAUAUUCUAUAUUUAUAUUGUGCCAGCAUUGUGCUAAAAGUAAUAUGUGUCACUUUUUAUUUCUUGCCCAGAUUCUAAUACAGAGCUAUUAUUCCUUCCUUCCCUCCCUCCCUCCUUCCCUUUCUUUCCUUCUUUCCUCCCUCCCUUCCUUCCUUCAUAUAUGUAAUAUGAAUGUACUCAAUCUAAUACAUUCUGUUAUAGAUAAGGAAAGUUGAGGUUUUAGAGAUAUAAACCUGGUAUAUAACUUACCAGGGUCCCAAAGCAAGCCAGUGGCAUAAUAAGUAAGAACACAGACAGUUUGACUCAAGAGUCUUCAGUCACUGCUACAUAACACUAAUCUCGUGUUAUGCUUGGCCAAUUCAUAACCAGUGGUUUAUGGGCUUGUCAUUAACUUUCCAUUUACCUGAAAUUAGUUUUGACACUGAAUUAUGGCUUCAAGUUAACUGAGGAGUUUCUGCCAACAGAAAACAAAAUUCCUCCUAAUGUUGAUAAAGGGCUGUUACGUUGACUCUCUUGAUUCACUUGUGCUCUACAACUUUGCUAUUCAGUGUUGUGUGAAUUACAGCCAUCACCAUCUCCUGUGAGCUUGUUAGAAAUGGAGAACAUUGGGCCCCACCACGGUUACACUGAACUAGGAUUUGCACUCUAACAAGACCACCAGGUAUGUUGCUAUAAACUGACAUGCAUUAUCUGGGAAGACUUCCACUCCACAGAUGCUGCUGAUGUAUAGGGGCGGUGAGCACAACAGCAGAUUCAGCCUAACCAGGCUCAUGUGCUCAGGAAUGGACCAGACUACCAACUGACACAAAGCUAAAAAUAUCAAGGCUUAAUUUGAUUUACUUUACUUUAAAGUACUGAAUUUAUGAUAAUACCACUAAGACCAAUAGUGUUAACGGAAACAAUCACAGUUAAUUUUAUUGGUUGAUUAUUAUGUUCCAUCCCGACAGAGUGUGCUAGGAAUGUAGAGAUUAAUCAGACCUCCUCUCAGUCAACAAGGCAUUUGUGGUGGUGUGGCAUCAGAUAAGAUUGUAACUCUUGGCCGGGCGCGGUGGCUCACGCCUGUAAUCCC